AUUGAACGCUGGCGGCAGGCCUAACACAUGCAAGUCGAGCGAGCGGCGGACGGGUGAGUAAUGUCUGGGAAACUGCCUGAUGGAGGUGGAUAACUACUGGAAACGGUAGCUAAUACCGCAUACCAUCAGAUGUGCCCAGAUGGGAUUAGCUGGUAGGGGGGGUAACGGCUCACCUAGGCGACGAUCCCUAGCUGGUCUGAGAGGAUGACCAGCCAAACUGGAACUUAGACACGGUCAAGACUCCUACGGUAGGCAGCGGGGGGGAACAGUGCACAAUGGGCGCAAGCCUGAUGGAGCCAUGCAGCGUGUGUGAAGAAGGCCUUCGGGUUGUAAAGUACUUUCAGCGGGGAGGCGUUACCCGCAGAAGAAGCACCGGCUAACUCCGUGCCAGCAGCCGCGGUAAUAC
rnacentral:rRNA from 1 species